GCGGGAGUAAUUCAGCGGUAGAAUGUCAGCUUCCCAAGCUGGACGUCGCGAGUUCGAUCCUCGUCUCCCGCU
rnacentral:tRNA from 1 species